rnacentral:rRNA from 1 species
GAUGAACGCUAGCGGCGUGCCUAAUACAUGCAAGUCGAGCGAACAGACGAGGAGCUUGCUCCUCUGACGUUAGCGGCGGACGGGUGAGUAACACGUGGAUAACCUACCUAUAAGACUGGGAUAACUUCGGGAAACCGGAGCUAAUACCGGAUAAUAUAUUGAACCGCAUGGUUCAAUAGUGAAAGACGGUUUUGCUGUCACUUAUAGAUGGAUCCGCGCCGCAUUAGCUAGUUGGUAAGGUAACGGCUUACCAAGGCAACGAUGCGUAGCCGACCUGAGAGGGUGAUCGGCCACACUGGAACUGAGACACGGUCCAGACGCCUACGGGAGGCAGCAGUAGGGAAUCUUCCGCAAUGGGCGAAAGCCUGACGGAGCAACGCCGCGUGAGUGAUGAAGGUCUUCGGAUCGUAAAACUCUGUUAUUAGGGAAGAACAAAUGUGUAAGUAACUAUGCACGUCUUGACGGUACCUAAUCAGAAAGCCACGGCUAACUACGUG